GACGAACGCUGGCGGCGUGCUUAACACAUGCAAGUCGAACGGAAAGGCCCUGCUUUUGUGGGGUGCUCGAGUGGCGAACGGGUGAGUAACACGUGAGUAACCUGCCCUUGACUUUGGGAUAACUUCAGGAAACUGGGGCUAAUACCGGAUAGGAGCUCCUGCUGCAUGGUGGGGGUUGGACAGUUUCGGCGGUUGGGGAUGGACUCGCGGCUUAUCAGCUUGUUGGUGGGGUAGUGGCUUACCAAGGCUUUGACGGGUAGCCGGCCUGAGAGGGUGACCGGCCACAUUGGGACUGAGAUACGGCCCAGACUCCUACGGGAGGCAGCGGUGGAGAAUAUUGCACAGUGGGCGGAAGCCUGAUGCGGCGACUCCGCGUGCGGGAUGACGGCCUUCGGGUUGUAAACCGCUUUCGCCUGUGACGAAGCGUGAGUGACGGUAAUGGGUAAAGAAGCACCGGCUAACUACGUG
rnacentral:rRNA from 1 species